UUGAGUUUAGUUUAAAUAAAAUAAAUUAUUUACAUUAAUUAGAAACUUUAUAGUAGCUUAAA
rnacentral:tRNA from 1 species